UGUGCUCCAGGUCCCCCAGGCCGCAGCAUGUUGGCGGCACUCAUUGCUGCCCAGGCCACGGCUCUCAAUCGAGGCAAGGGACUCCUGCCUGAGCCAAAUAUCCUGCAGCUAUUGAACAACCUGGGCCCAUCUGCCUCCCUCCAGCUGCUCCUCAACCCCCUGCUGCAUGGAGGUGCCAGUGGCAAGCAGGGCCUCCUGGGUGCGCCCCCUGCCAUGCCGCUGCUCAGUGGGCCUGCCCUGUCUACUGCACUGCUGCAGCUAGCCCUGCAGAGCCAGAACCAGAGCCAGAGCCAGAGCCAGAAGGUAACAAAGCCUGGGAUCCUGGGAGACUCACCUCUGGGUACCCUCCAGGCCGGGGCCCAACCUUCCAACUCUCUCCUAGGAGAGCUGUCUGCAGGGGGGGGCCUGGCCCCGGAACUGCCGCCCCGCCGAGGGAAGCCACAACCCUUACUACCACCAUUGCUGGGCCCCUCUGGGGGUGACCGGGAGCCCAUGGGUCUGGGUCCCCCAGCAUCCCAGCUCACUCCACCCCCAGCCCCUAUGGGGCUCCGAGGCUCCAGUCUUAGAGGCCUCCCGAAGGACAGUGGGCCCCUGCCAACGCCCCCUGGGGUCUCACUGCUGGGGGAACCCCCAAAGGACUACCGCAUCCCCCUCAACCCCUACCUGAAUCUACACAGCCUGCUUCCAUCCAGUAACCUAGCAGGCAAGGAGACCCGGGGCUGGGGAGGCUCUGGGAGAGGCCGCCGCC
rnacentral:lncRNA from 1 species